rnacentral:rRNA from 1 species
UACGUAGGGUGCGAGCGUUAAUCGGAAUUACUGGGCGUAAAGCGUGCGCAGGCGGUUUUGUAAGGCAGAUGUGAAAUCCCCGGGCUUAACCUGGGAACUGCGUUUGAAACUACAAGGCUAGAGUGUGGCAGAGGGGGGUGGAAUUCCACGUGUAGCAGUGAAAUGCGUAGAGAUGUGGAGGAACACCGAUGGCGAAGGCCGCCCCCUGGGUUAACACUGACGCUCAGGCACGAAAGCGUGGGGAGCAAACAGG